CCUGCCACUCCAUCCCCUCCUGCUACCCCAUCAACUCCGUCACCUGCCACUCCAUCCCCUCCUGCUACGUCCUCACCACCACCAACAUCAUCCUCCCCGCCUCCGCUUCGUUCUCCUCCUUCACUCUCUCCACCAGUCCCUUCACCGCCCACUUCUACCUCUCCCUCGCCGCCUUCAUCAACUCCCUCUCCUCCAUCUCCUCCUUCCUCUACGCCGUCUCCUCCUGCGACUUCUGGGAACCCGUCGACGCCUACGACUAAGAGUCCUCCCCCACCUUCUUCUGCUAAUGCGCCGCCGUCGAGUUCAUCGGAGAUAUCGACAGGGCUGGUAGUGGGGAUAGCUAUUGGAGGAGUGGCAAU
rnacentral:misc_RNA from 1 species